rnacentral:lncRNA from 1 species
GAAUAGCCACUACAGUGGGCGACCUACCAGAGGCCAUAAACUUAGAGAAAAGGGACUCUCCCUUCCCCAGAAGCAUUACCUGUCAAUAGCUGUCCAGCAAGGGGUUGGGACUUCACCUCUCCCUUCCAUGCUGGAAUGUUAGCCAGGUUAGUCUUGUGGAGGUCUUUUUACAUGUAGCAGUUUGUAAAAUUACCUUCACAGGCUGUGGUUUGGCUCAAUGUUAAGAGUGUUUAUCUACCAUGUGCAAGGCCCUGGGUUCAAUCUCCAAUGCCUCAAAAAUAAACAAAUACCAUACUUGCUAAAAAUACAUGACAGACUUUAUAUAUUUCAAAAAUGAAUUUAUGUUCCUGUCAUGGUUCACAUCUCUCCUCCCAGUACAUGGUUCACAUCUCUCAAUCAUCCCAGUAUUUAGAAAGAUGAGGCCUGAGAAACAUGAACUUUAGGGUAGCCUGAGCUACAUAGACCCUAUCUCAAAAAUGUAUGUAUAAAGUUAUGUGCUUCUUGUAUUAGUAUUUAAGAAGUAUGUAAUCAUUUUAUAUAAGUAGAGGGAGCAUUUAAUAGGAAAUUUUAAACUAAGUGUCCGUAACUGGAGUGCUCUUGUGUGCCCACUCAUUGAUUGCUCGGUGAGGGAGAAUAAUAUACUGUUUUAUAUUUAACUGUACCAGUUGACAGCCAAGUAGUAGAUUUAAAAGAAUUUCUUUCCUUUGAAAUGUGUGACCUAUGAAGACUAACAGAAUGAAAAUAUCACAUUUUACCCCUCAUAGGAUAAUGGACCCAGGCAUUAAUCAUCAAUGCUUGUUAAUAUCUCAAAAAGAAAGACAACCUGACAAAGCCAAGGAUCACAGCGCAGUUCUGCAGCAGUUUUUCUGUUCCCCAAAAAUAACAAAUAUGAUGUGCUUAAGCCAAUUCAUAGGAACUCUACAGUAAACAGAACACAGCAUCUUGUCGAUGGCAUUAUCAAAACCCAAUGCCUCUGAAACCCUAGGACACAUGACACGAUUUCUUGAGGAGGAAGAAAGCAGACUAUAGCUGAAAGAAAGAGAGCAGUCAGUCGUAAUGUGUUUUGCCUGACUGCAAACUCAGCAUAGACCAGAGGAUCACUUGUGGGGUUUCUCUAUAUUGCUCAGUGUUGCCUUGCUUACCCAGAAUGCAUGAGUGCCGAGGUUCUGUCCUCAUCACUAAAGAAAGAAACCAGCAAACAAGCCAGCCUGUGAACCCUCAUUCACAUCCCUUUC